CGGAAUCUUCACAAUUCGAUACAACAACGAGCACCCCUGUCAGACUUCAUUAGAAUACAAAGAUUGCAAUGGACUGGACAUGUGAUAAGAAUGGGAGAGGAUAGGAUACCAAAAAAAGCAAUGAACGCUAGGAUGCAAGGAAAGAGAUAGGUUGGAAAGCCUAGAAAGUGCUGGGAAGACACAGAGUAACCAGCGAUGCACAAGUAUUUUUAGAAGUCCGUGUAUGGAUAAGAUAAGAGCAGCCACAGAUAAAAAAGUAUGGAGGCAAAAAAUAAAGGAGGCCAAUGCUCAAUUUGGGUUGUAGUGUCAUAGAACAACAAGACGAAAAAAGCAAAAAUUAAGAGAACAGAAACGGCAGGUACAAAAAGAUAGGCAGGUAAAAAAAUAAAGGAGGCCAAUGCUCAAUUUGGGUUGUAGUGUCAUAGAACAACAAGACGAAAAAAGCAAAAAUUAAGAGAACAGAAACGGCAGGUACAAAAAGAUAGGCAGGUAAAAAAAUAAAGGAGGCCAAUGCUCAAUUUGGGUUGUAGUGUCAUAGAACAACAAGACGAAAAAAGCAAAAAUUAAGAGAACAGAAACGGCAGGUACAAAAAGAUAGGCAGGUAAAAAAAUAAAGGAGGCCAAUGCUCAAUUUGGGUUGUAGUGUCAUAGAACAACAAGACGAAAAAAGCAAAAAUUAAGAGAACAGAAACGGCAGGUACAAAAAGAUAGGCAGGUAAAAAAAUAAAGGAGGCCAAUGCUCAAUUUGGGUUGUAGUGUCAUAGAACAACAAGACGAAAAAAGCAAAAAUUAAGAGAACAGAAACGGCAGGUACAAAAAGAUAGGCAGGUAAAAAAAUAAAGGAGGCCAAUGCUCAAUUUGGGUUGUAGUGUCAUAGAACAACAAGACGAAAAAAGCAAAAAUUAAGAGAACAGAAACGGCAGGUACAAAAAGAUGCAAUAUUAUCUUAUCUUACUCCUCAAAACAGUGCGCAAAGUUCGUCCUCCCACUUCACUUCACUUCACUUGUCUCAACAUCGACGGAAUCGAUUUUGUCGGUUAGAAUUCCUUUUAAAACGACCCAUAACUGUAACGAUAAACUCCAAUCAUAUAACAAAAUCAAUGCAGUUUAAAAACACAUAAGGGUGAGAUGGCAUACCUAUGCCAACUUAUCCUCUUACUUACUAUGCCAUCUCAGGCAACAUUGCAGUCAGACAGUUUUAUUAACCUAAUUUUUCUUAAGCACAUUUUUAAGAUAUAAAUCGAUACAGGCGUGAUAGGCAUAAGGUAAAAGAACAUCACAAAAUUUAAAAACUUAACUUAGGUAUAAAGACUCGCGAAUUAUAAUGUGAUACAAAAAAA
rnacentral:lncRNA from 1 species